UUAAGUUUCAGUCUUGCGACCGUACUCCCCAGGCGGCGAGCUUAACGGCUUCCCUGCGACACUCCAAUCGCGAUUUGCGAUUGGAUCAUCUAGCUCGCAUCGUUUACGGCUGGGACUACCCGGGUCUUUAGUGGGUCGAUAGGAACUUAUGCAGAGGUCGCAUCUUGACCGGGUGCGUGAAUUCAACAAAACUCUGGAACUUAAGAACGUCGUCUUUUCCGUAGAUGUAGAUUUCAUUCUCAAUACUCGUUCUCCGUCGAGCAUGAAGAGAAUCUUGAAUUCCUAUUUCGGUUAAGACUAAAUCAACCAUCUCGUGAACUUCCUGCGAGGUUAUUGAGAAGUCGAUUUCCGCUUGCCUUUUCUUUACAUGGCCCUUCGCGUC
rnacentral:rRNA from 1 species